rnacentral:rRNA from 1 species
CAAUAGCGUAUAUUAAAGUUGUUGCAGUUAAAAAGCUCGUAGUUGAAUUUCUGUCAGGAGCGACCGGGCCUUUGGAUGAACUUCCAUUGUUUUUGCUCUGUUUGUCGUCUCUAGACAUCCUAAAUUACAUUUCUUGUAAUUUUCUUUUACUGUUAGCAAAAUAGAGUGUUCCAAGCAAAGCGUAGUUUUGAAUACAUUAGAAUGGAAUAAUAAGAUAGGACUUUGGUGCUAUUUUGUUGGUUUGCACACCAAGGUAAUGAUUAAUAGGGACAGUUGGGGGUAUUCGUAUUUAAUUGUCAGAGGUGAAAUUCUUGGAUUUAUGAAAGACGAACUACUGCGAAAGCAUUUACCAAGGAUGUUUNCAUUAA